AAGUUAACUUAACCUAUGGAUGGGAAUAACCUCGGGAAACUGAGAAUAAUACCCAAUAGACCACAGUGCCUGGAAUGGCCUGUGGUUGAAAUGAUUUAUCGCCGUAGGAUAGGACUGCGGACUAUCAGCUUGUUGGUGAGGUAAUGGCCCACCAAGGCUAUAACAGGUACGGGCUCUGAGACGGGGGGGCCCGGAGAUGGGUACUGAGACACGGACCCAGGCCCUAUGGGGCGCAGCAGGCGAGAAACCUUUGCAAUGUGCGAAAGCACGACAAGGUUACUCCGAGUGUCUCCUGCUACAGGAGUCUUCUGUCAGGCUGUAGAAUCCCUGGUGAAUAAGGGGUGGGCAA
rnacentral:rRNA from 1 species